rnacentral:sRNA from 1 species
CCGGUAGCACUUGCAACUGAACUCCUAUUUAUCUUCUAUGCUCGCUUUCCAAACCUACACAUGCAUUGCAGCUCAGCUCUGACUGAGACCCAUGUUUUGGCUGAGAAGGUGGUUCAGUCUCCAUGGCCAUUCAGUCCUUGGUAUCU